UUUUGCAGCCAUAUCACCCUGCAACUCACAACUGGCAACCCACUGAAGCUAAGCAGGUGUGAGCCUGGUCAGUACCUGGAGGGGAGACCUCCUGGGAAAAACUAAGGUUGCUGCUGGAA
ensembl:rRNA 5S_rRNA 5S ribosomal RNA